UUUCAAAAAUCCACCCAGCCCUCCAUUUGUACCGAGUGCUGCUGUAACUCGUUCCCUUCUUUCCUUUUGAUUUGCCAGUUUAAACCAACAGAUUUCCCUUCAAUAUUCGUUCGUUUUCCUUUCCCUUUCUUUUCUAUAAGAUUUUCCUACGAUUAUAUUUGCGCCGAAGUAACCCAUUUCGUCCUUGAACCAACAGGUGGCAUUUUUCUUGCCUCUGAAGAUAUCAAUGGAAGCAUUUGUGGCACACGAGAAUCACUGGAAAGAGUCCUUGGAUCCUGAUGACCACCUCAAGGGGGUUAAGGCAGAUAGAAUCACCAGUUAGUUAUGAGCAGGAAGCUAUCCAUCAUGGACACUGUAGAAGUUUUCCUCUUGCAGCAGGUUAGGAUGCACCUUUUUGAUGGGACCAUGUGAGAGUAAAGUUGAAGAAUGAGGUAUUUUCUUUAGAAGCAAAGCAGUGGGUGCCACUCUUUUUUUUUUUUCUUAAUAUGGUUUAUGUUAAGUGAAUCUGCCAUUUCUCGACCCCUUUUAUAUAUGUUUUCUUUCGUUCAUUUUAAGUAGAUUGUUACUGUUGGAAAUCGUGAUGCAUCACAGAUUGAAAAGCUUGGAAAGUAUAUUAGCACAAAGGAUUGGAAUGCUUUGACCAGUGGUCGAGAUACUGAGUAACCAAACUUUGUUUCAACUUUUUGGUCACUCCAUUGUGAUUUACUGAUUUGCCUUUCAGGAUUUCAAAUAUCAUUAUUUAGUUUAAGUUCUCUAUCUAUUUACUCUUCAAAGUUCAACCCCUUUCUGUCUUCAAGCUUUGCUCUUUCACGUGUAGGUCUUUCCUAUUUUAGUUUAAACUUUUGAGUCAACAACCUCAUGCUUGGCAUAAUAAUAUGUGUUUAUUCUCUUGUGGCAUUGUGGAAGAGUAUUAUCUUGUCCAACUAUAAUCCAAUUUCCCUUUUGUAAUGGAAAUUGCUCUAUGCAGUUGGUUUUGGUAGAGGCUGUUGCUAGCCUUUUUUGCAAUUUCUUGUUGGCACUUCUGCCUUUAGUUAUAUUAGAGAAGGUUGACACUUUUACCUAAAAUUUCUUGUCUUUUUUAGGCUAACAUAACUUGCAAAAAUCAUGUAUUGUGGACUAUGGUAACAGAUUUGAAGUAUUAACAUACACACACAUGGUUCUGGCAAAUGGACAAGUUCAUUCGUUAUGUUAAUCAGUUGAAUGCGCAGUCAAGCUCUAGAAGAAGCAAAUGGCAGUUCAUGGGAGCUAGAGAUGCAGGAGCAAAGAAAGAGCUUCACCAAGUUUAUGGUGAAAAAAAUCCUUCAUUAAAUGGCGGAGCUUCAAGUCUCAAUAGUCAUCAAUUUCAUACUUUUUAAAUUUUUGCUUAAUGUAUUGAAACAAUUGGAAUGUUAUCAUAUUAAA